ensembl:lncRNA
CCUGCACCUUCACCACCUUUGGAAAGGCAAGUAUUACAUUAAAUUGACACGUUUUUAACUGAUUAACAAUAAUACAAAUAUUAUAUAUUUGUGGGUUGCCUAAAACCUUUCCAUGACUUUUCAAUUUGUUUUUAAAGUCAAGAAGAAUUUCGAAAAGCCUGGAUCAAAUACUGCAAAGCAUUGGCAAAUUUGCUAAACCUGGGGUCAGAAUUAAGGACUACAGUGUUUAUAAUGAAGCUGAGUUAUGGAGAGAUGUCUGCAAAGACUUGGAAGUUCCCAACACAUUAGUGAAUCGACUAAAAAUUUGUAAAGCCACUGCGCAUCUUUGGAAGGGUUCCUGGGAGAAUCUGACUACAGCUUUAAAGGAUGACAGUGCUGAGGAACAGUCUGAAUCUUCAUGUGAAAAGUGGUCUCCUCAGGUCAGUCCUGAUGCUACAGUUGACAGCAACACUGAGUAUGAGGCCAAGGAUGCUGUGGAGGCCGAGUCUCCUUCAGUUAAGCUUACUGAAAGACAGGAUUGUAGUCAAGCAUCAGAAACAUCUUCUGAAAAUAGUGGUCCAGCUGAUCUCUUUUUUUGGCAUAAGCUGCCGACAGUACCAUGUUUUUUUUUUAUUGACACUAAGGAGUGGAGAGAUCUGAGAAAACGACAGGUCGGACAUCAGUUUAAAGACCUGCAUUGGACAAAUGUAAUCUCAAAAGGAAUACAAUCUGUCCAUCCAUACUGCAGCAUUGCUUUUAAAAGGCACACAGUGAAAAAUAAAAUGUCCAAAAAAAAGGGACCAGUAUUUCAGUGCCUAGGUUACUGCACAUUUUCGGAUUGUCCCGUUUCUGUGGAGGUCACUGUAAAGGAUGAAAGUACCCUUAAGGCCUGGGUGACACUUCAGGGAGAGGUGGUGUGUCACAGUAUGGACGAAUUGAGAAGACGACCCGUACGGGCUGAUAACAGAGAAAUAUUUGCAAAACAACUGGAAUCAGUGCUUCCAAGAGCCUUACAUUUGCAGUGUCUGGACAAAAUACCACCUAAGGUUUUUGAGUCAGGAUGUAGAGACCAGGCACCUACAGCAGCUGUCCUCAAAAACAUUGCCUUCGACACACGGAAGAAAUGCAGAAGGCAUGAAAAUGAAAUAUUAAGUUUGGAAAAAAUGGUGGAGGACAAAACAGAUGACGAAAAUGAAGUUCUUCAAAAGGUGCUCUUGCACCCAAGAGGAGUAAUGUUGUGGUCCAAAAACACAAUAAGACUUUUCCAUCAACGAUGCAGGGAUGACAUAGUGUAUCUUGACGCCACAGGAAGCAUUGUUAAAAAACCACAAGGAAAAUCUGCUCCUUUUUAUGUGUAUGAGCUGGUGGUGAGGAAUCCUACCAAAGGAGGCUCCCCUAUACCUGUUGCAACAUACGUCACCUGCCAACACACCACUGCAUCAGUGUUAUUUUUUAUGGAGUCAUUUCAAACAGAUUACUACAAGUUGUUUGGGAGGAAAUCUGUGAGGAGGCCUGUGAUGAUUAUGUGCGAUGGGUCGCUUGUUCUGAUGCAAGUUGUUGCCUACAGUUUUUGUAAACUUCCUUUGGAUGUCUUGAUCAGUAUGUACUAUGACAUUGUCACAGGACAGUUGAAAGAUGUAAUCAAACUGCCAAUUCUUCAUCGCUGCCUGAGCCACAUCAUGAAGAAUGCUAAAGUGUUCUGCAGGAAACAUUCCCCCAAACACUACAGGCUGUCUAUGCAUCUUUUUGGCCUCUUGACAAGUGCUGCCACACUGAUGGAAAUGGAUGACAUAAUUACCAGCAUGACAGUACUGUUCUCAAGCCCUCAGAGUGGUGAAAAUGUGGAAAAACACUUCCAAAAUCUUCAGAACAGCAUGCAAACAAUCAGCUUUUAUGAAGGAAGUGACCGUGCAGAAAAUGACUUGGAGAUCACCACUGGACCCACAACAUUUCAGAGUCAUUUUGAGGAAAUAGUGGCAAAUGCACCUGUAGAUGAAAAGGGGGAGCCAAAUGAGUAUUAUUCACGUACAUUCAUGCCAAACCUGGUAAAAUACUUCCUACCUCAGGCACCUUUGUGGUCUGGUCUCAUGCUGGGCCAGUGGAAGACCAAUUUUUGGUUACUUACCCUGCUGUCCAACAACAGUCCAAUUCUAGCAACUGUGGCUUGUUUGCAAUAGCAUUUGCUUUUGCAUUAUGCUGUAACCUGAGGCCAGAAAACUGCCAGUUCCGCGAGGGCAGAUUGAGAGCAGAACUUGUAUCUUCUUUCCAGAAAGGACGAAUGCUUUUCAAAACAGAGCCAAGACUUAACAAGGCAAAAUCCACACAAACACUUGUGAAUGUGUACUGCUUAUGCAGGACUGCACACUGCGCUGAAGUCAUGGUUGAAUGUACUUCAUGCAAGAGGUGGUAUCAUCCAAACUGUGCACAGAUACCCCAAAAUGCAAUUACUGGGGAUGAUGACUGGCACUGCCCCAAUUGUACUGGCAAAAUCUAAAACUUUUUUUUUUUCUCUGAAGCCAAUGUGGGAAGUAAAAUGAGUGUAUGGGAAGUAUGGUUCAUUACUGUUUACAUUGCCUAUACAUUGCUUUAAAUAUUAAAAUUGUUAUUGUUUCACUAGUAUUUAAAUUGUUGUCAAUUCAUUUUAAUAUAGCCAUGUAAAGUUAAGUUUUGCAAAUGUCAAGUGUGAAGUAAUUUUAUUAGUACUUUAAGUAUUUUACAAUUUUCAUUAUAUGCACAGUCUCAGGAACACGUC